UCACUAACACAAGGGUGCAUACCGAUUCGACGAUCGGCUCCGUUAGGUAUAAUCUACCCUAUUGGAACUAUUUAGAAACCAAAUUUUAUAAUUUUUUGGCAUCAUUUACUAAGCGAUCAAUAGGUCCCAAAAAUGACUAUUUUAACGGCCGAUACGGCACGUUUUUAAGUUCAACGGUGUAGAAGUAUCCAAAUUACAUGAAAAUUUAAUAGAAAAUUCUACUUAACGUCAAUAGCAAGAUCAAUACUUCCGAUUUGAAAUUUGAGUCCUUUAUCAUUAUUUUUUAUGAAAUUUUUAUUUUCAGCCGUUCAUUUUUAGGCUACUCGUUCACUAGGCAAACGAAGUCAAAAAAUUAUGAAAUUUGGUUUCUAGAUAUUACAAGUACGGAGCCCCCGGUAUUUUUGAAAG
rnacentral:lncRNA from 1 species